CUCUCUCUCUCUGUUGGCAGGUGAUAGACACAGUAAGCACUCAGUUGGCAGGAAGAGCCUCAACUAACAAAGGCCUGCAACACUUUGCUUUAAACGGCUCUUGAGCACAGAGCUGGGGCAAUUUGUUAGCAGUUUGCGCUUAACUUAUUCGCUGUGCACCAUUAUCGCAUUCAAUAGUACCGUUCCCGGGGCGCCAUCAGUCAAAUUGCCAAACAAAUUCAUGUCGCCGAUAACAAUUCAAUCACUUAAAAGUUCAAAUCGUCUUACAAUGCCUCCCCAGUGUCCAACUGGGCAACUGCAACCACAAUCUAGCUGCUGUUGCUGCUGCUGCUGCUGCUGUCUGAAACAUCUUGUCCCGGGGCUAUGCUUAGCAGGGCAUCUGCAUCGGUUUGUUGGCAACUGAAGUUCGUACUUAUCUCAACAGCUUGCUGCAAAGCCAUUCAAUGGAUUCCCUUGAUUUGGUCUCAACUCUCUGCAACUGAGGCCUUCAAGUGUCUGCCGUUGUCUGCUGCUGUUGCUGCUGGCCAAGUUUUAAAGCAAUAUUUUUCAACAGCAAACUUCCACUCAACAGUUGCAUUUAACCAACCCCAUCUGGAGCCCAGGACCACGGGGCACACAGCGUGCUUUGCCAAAGGA